AUUGAACGCUGGCGGCAGGCCUAACACAUGCAAGUCGAACGGUAACAGGAAGAAGCUUGCUUCUUUGCUGACGAGUGGCGGACGGGUGAGUAAUGUCUGGGAAACUGCCUGAUGGAGGGGGAUAACUGCUGGAAACGGUAGCUAAUACCGCAUAAUGUCGCAAGACCAAAGAGGGGGACCUUCGGGCCUCUUGCCAUCGGAUGUGCCCAGAUGGGAUUAGCUAGUAGGUGGGGUAACGGCUCACCUAGGCGACGAUCCCUAGCUGGUCUGAGAGGAUGACCAGCCACACUGGAACUGAGACACGGUCCAGACUCCUACGGGAGGCAGCAGUGGGGAAUAUUGCACAAUGGGCGCAAGCCUGAUGCAGCUAUGCCGCGUGUAUGAAGAAGGCCUUCGGGUUGUAAAGUACUUUCAGCGGGGAGGAAGGGAGUAAAGUUAAUACCUUUGCUCAUUGACGUUACCCGCAGAAGAAACACCGGCUAACUCCGU
rnacentral:rRNA from 1 species